rnacentral:rRNA from 1 species
UACGUAGGGUGCGAGCGUUUAAUCGGAAUUACUGGGCGUAAAGCGUGCGCAGGCGGUUCGCCAAGUCAGGUGUGAAAUCCCCGGGCUUAACCUGGGAAUUGCGCUUGAAACUAGCGGGCUUGAGUGUGGGCAGAGGGGGGUGGGAAUUCCACGUGUAGCAGUGAAAUGCGUAGAGAUGUGGAGGAACACCGAUGGCGAAGGCAGCCCCCUGGGUCAACACUGACGCUCAUGCACGAAAGCGUGGGGAGCAAACAGG